CACAAAUGUUCAUGACCGUAUUUAAGAGAAUGAAGGCUAAAUGACACAUCCAUCUUUUUGGUAGGUUGCAUUAUCAUUUGAAAUAUUUGUUGCCCCUCCCUGAGUUCACCUUCCUGCAGAAAGAUGAUAACUUACCUGGCUGUUAAGGUCUAGCACACUCAAUUUGCUUGCUCUAUGCCUAGAGCAUUGUGAGGAAAAGUGACAUAUGUCACUUUGGAGGAGAAACAUUAAGAACAAGCACCUGGUUUGCUGCAUCUUUUAUUCCUCUACUAUAAGACCAGCUACAGCCAAAAUAAGACCUGCUCUAUGAGUCUGGGUCUAUGUGUGGAGCAGAUUUGCAGCUGACCCAUAAUAGGCGUAUGAUGUGAGCCGGAAAUAAACCUCUGUUUAUUUGGGGUUGUUUGUUCCUGCAUCAUUACUUUAGCUUAUCCUGACUGUUGCAUUUUCCAUCCAAAUAACAGCAGCAUCAUAAACAUUUAUAUAAUUUGUAUAACAGUUUGCUUAGGCUUCUUAUGUACCUAUUUACCCUUUCCCAAAAUCCAAAUUUACUCAGUUUCAUCUUCUUGACAACAGAAUCCCAACUUCAUUCCAGCUGCAAUAUGCCCAACCCCAGCAUGUGUCCAACUACAGUUCAAUUAUUCUAAGCCAAUCACAGCAACUCAGUUCUCCCUUGAAAGUCAUUGGCCUAGGGGUUAGCAUAUGAGUCAGUUCUGAACAAUGAGCCUUAAGGAGAAUCUGCCUAAGAUUUCAGGAGUAUCUUUCUUUUCUGAUAAGAGCAGCAUGCAAAGUCAGAAAGCCUUUUUUGUCCUCUUCCCAUCACUUUCAGCUUUAAAAGCCAUAAUAGAAGAAUGUGGUGCUCGAGCUCUGACCAUGAAGAUAAACACCAGUGUGCCCUGAAAGCAAUGGAGUCAAGGAUAGAAAGAGCUGGAUCCUUGACAUAACUGAACCAUCCACUCACCCACAGGACUGCCUACCUGGACUUCACAGUGAACUGUUAAUGUCUUUAUGGUUUAAGCCAUAUGUCUGAUUUUUCUGUUUCUUGCUGCCAAAAUCAUCCUAACUGACAAAACCUUCAUGGACACAGCAUUGUUCACAUGGCCCAUUUCACAAGGAGUUCAUCUUUAUGACUGCCCCAGAUAGGCCUUGAAUUUACCAGUUACUUAAAAAAACCACAAUGAGAGUCAAAGGAAUUUUGGGCCUUUGCUUAAUUUGACUGCUCUAAACCCAGCUCAGACCUUGAUGAAGUCCUCUUUAAUAUGCAUUGAACAAAACCAUCAGCUCCCUGUGGUCAUUUAUUGUAGGUCCUUUGUCUCUAUAAGGUCCUAGGAGCUACCUAGUCCUGUUUCUUCCCCCUGCCCCACCCCCUCCCCAUCUCUACCACCAAACCCCAAUGUACAAUUUCAACAGCAAAACAAAGUUAAGCCAGAAGAGCUGCCAGUGUCCCUGUCUUGAGCUCUCCCUAUUGUAUCCUAAUGCUGCAAUAAGAUGAGUGCAGAGGGACCUCAUGGCUUAAGCCCCAAAGAGUACUAUGUGCAUCGAUCCUCAAUCCUCGCUCCCAGUCACCGAGAUGAGCAGCAAAUGCCUCAGGGUAGAUCAUGGAUUUGGGCAAAUAGGAAUGCAUCUAAAUGCUCAACAGAAGUUUGGUUUUUUCAGUUUCUUGGAAUAGUCUCCAUGUUGGCCUUCUGUUAUCAUCUAUUAUUUCCAGAUGUUCCUUGUUUUGUUUUGUGUCUAGUUUUCUACUUCCCAAACCAUGUUUUGCUACUCAACCUUUUUCUUAUGUCUGUGUUUGUGGACCCUAGAAAAGGUCUCAGAAAUGUGAUCUUCUUUUAAUUUUUCUUGGUAUCUUUUUUCUUUGUGUCCUCGCAGUGUGGUUUCUGGACACCAUGUAGGAGUGUUACUUUGAUUUCAGGUUUUUGGAAACACAUAACAAAUAUCUCAAUUUUUCUGGCACUACUUUCUUUUCAUCUUUGUUUUACAUCGUGUAUUUCACUUCUGCCAAAAAUGUUAUUUUGAUACUUGGUGUCCCUUUUUAUUGUCUUUGCUACCAUAUUCUUGUUAAUAAGAAAGAAAUAUACAAAACUUGUACGGUUACUUAAUCCUGGUGGCUGCUUUGAAAAAUUCCACUCAGAACAGUUAAGCUGCUGUUAAGCUAAUACAGUUUUUUUGUAAAUGGUCCAAAUUGAUCUUCAUUAAAUAACUUCCUGUUUUUAAUUUGUACUAUCCUAUUUUAAUUUGCUUAGUAUAAAUUAGGUAGUAAUUGGCUAUGAGAUAUUUGCAGUCUUUCUCUACUUUCUAUUUCCUGCAUUUUAUAGUUAGACUGCCCCUAGGUCAAGUUUUGUUGUUACUCAGCACCUGUGAGUUCUUAGCAUUCUUUCUUAGAUUUAUGCUUUGAAUUAGAAAAGCUUUACCAAAAAAAAAAAAAAAAUCUGUUUUCUGCAUGUUGUCCCAUAAAAUUUUCUUUGGAUGCACGAAUGCACGAAGCUCUUACAGAGUUUAAUGGUUACUUCACCUUGUUGAUUUAUUGUGGUUUUUUUGCUGGAGCAUUUUCAUUCUUCUAUCAGCUUGCAGAAACCUUGAAACAUCUGUGUGGCAACAUGGAAGUGAAAAGCACAUUUAACUGCUUUGUUGCUGCGUAUCAUGUGGCAAAUAAAAGCCAUAGGCCUUCAAUGUCCCAGGCAGCCAGUGUUGUACAAAUGGCUUGUAUUCUAACAGUCUAUGCUAGCUGGUUAUUUGAAGUGCAUUUCCCCAUGGAAACAAGGAUAAGAGGGGCACUUAAGUUUCUAGGUUAGUUCAUAAAAGCCUGUUCUACCCAGAAUAUAACUAAAAUUAUGUGCAUUGCAAUGAAUAAGAGCAGAAUAUUGUAAUAUCGGUAACCUAAGUAGCCAGAAAAGUCACAAAACUCAAUAAGAAAGAAGCUUUUAAAAACAUUUACUGAAUGGUGAUUGUCAAGGAAAAACAAAUUUAGCUAGAUAGGGAUGUAGAGAAAUACUCUUAUCAUUCCAACAGGGAUGAUUGAAGGACGUGACACUAGUUUUAUUUAUUAUAUAUGUUUCUCUUUAAAAUAAAAGUAAACAACUUGGCAUAGUUUCAAAAUAUUCUUCAAUAUACUUUUUUAAAUAAUCAGGUAAAAGAUGAUAAAUGUAAAUUUAAUAAGAACUUCUUUUGAUUUGUUUUGUUUUGUUUUUUUGAUAGAGUUGUGCUCUCUCACCCAGGCUGGAGUGUAGUGACGUGAUCAUGGCUCACUGUAGCCACGAUCUCCUGGGUACAAGCAAUCCUCCCACCUCAGCCUCCCGAGUAACCGGGACUACAGGUGUGCACCACCAUGCCCUACUGAAUUUUUUUAAUGCUUAUUUUUUAGUAGAGACGAGGUCUCCCUAUGUUGCCCAGGCUGCUCUCAAGCUCCUGGGUUCAAGUGAUUUACCCACCUUGGCCUCCCCAAGUGCUGGGAUUACAGGCACGAGCCACUGUGCCCGGCCAAGAAAGUUUUAAGAAGUGAAAAACAUCGUGGUUUCCUUCUUGUUUGAGAAAGUUAUAUCAAAGACACUUUUUAUUUCAUUUAGCAGCCAUGACUUCACCCUCCUUUGGUCCUUUCAUUAAAGGAACAGAUGAGGGUUCAUUGUCUGCUAAGUGACAGGUGCCGGGUGGAAUAUGGCAGCAACAAGAGAGACCAAAGAGUGGCACAUUGGUUUAUUGAGAGAGUGAACAAUAUCUGUGGCAGAGAUUUUCCAGUGCAAAUGGGGGCAAGAAAGAAAAAAGUGAAGGAGGAAGGGAAUUCCUAAAGACGUAGAUGGGAGAAGAUUUCCUGAGAAGGAAUGAAUUGAGCUGGGAAUGCAAAAGGACAAGAUGGAGAAGGUAACUAGAAUAUUGGACUCACUGGAGAGGAGACAAGAAAGUAGGGAGAGAGACAACUUAGAUCAGACAGUGAUCACCCAAGCUGAGGGGUGACGUUGUCCACCCCAAAACAACUUCUUGUGACCUAAGGUGAGAAGAGUGAGAAGGGAUGGGGAAUCAAUUUCAGCACAAUUAAAGGGAAGGAGCUGUUUUGCAAGAUGGAUGUUAGAAGCUAUAGGAAGUAAAGCACAGGAAAAAGGCUGAUUUGGCAGAGAUUUUGCUCAGAUAAAUUCCAUGGUUUCCAAGAGUCAAUCAUAAGAGAUCCUUUGAGAAAUGUCCAGAAGUUGCCAUUUUUAUCUAUUUCUUCGCAACAAAAUGCUGUUUCACAUUUAUUAUAAGGUGAUAAUGUGUGAUAAUAAAUUGACUAGUUUAUUGAGGGGACAGAGUUGGAAAGAGCUAAGUAACUGGGGCCCCUGGAAACACUGAAUCAAGAAGUGUCACUCUCUGCAGGGAGGGCAGGAGCUGAGCUCAUGAACUAAUACCUUGCUCACCCCAUUCCUAGCCUCCUUGAGUUGCAGAUGCUUUUGGUGAUAUAUCCUCAUUUUCACUUUAAAGAGUUCUUAACAUUUGUUGUAAAUGUAUUUAAAAGAUUCACCUAGUUAGACCUGUACCCAGUCCCUGCACCCCUAGAAAGAUAGCCCAUCACCCGUAAUUCCCUUAAAGGGCCAGACGAGCUCAGAGACUAAGAGCCGAGAGUGGAGCCAGAACACCUGGGUUUGAAUCCGGACUCAAAUGACACAGUCAUUUCCCAGCAGUGCUGUGUGACUUUGGGCAAGUUACUUAACUUCUCUGGGCCCAGUCUUCAUAUGUAAAGUUGUAUAAUAAUAGUACUUAGAUCAUAGGGUUACUUUGGACAUUGAAUGGGUUAACAGAUGUGAAACUCUUAGAAAAAUGCAUGGCUCCAACUAGUGUUAACUUUAAAAAGCAAAACAAAAGAAAACAAAACUUAAAAUUCCUUUGCCGGUUACUCAUAUUAACAAAAACAAUUACAUAUGUUGCUGUAUGUAUAUUCAUUUACCUUCAGAAGCAUUCUAGUAAAUGCGAGCCAUCAUGUGAAUGGUAAGAGGCUGGCUUAGCCCCUCUGGCUUAGCCCCUCUGGCUUAGCCCACCUCCAGCACCAACUGUCAGAAGAGCUCUAAGACUAAUGGAUCUAAACCUAGUUCACUUUAAGUCAUUGACCAGCUUUGUUGAUUGCAUUUUGCUGUAGCAAUGUUAGAAACCAUAUACAUUAAAUGCUCCUGAUCUUCCUCAGAGAUGGCCCUGCUCAAAGAUGCUGAUAAUAUUUAUCUGUGUGUGGAUGUAGCUAAAUUUCUUUUAAGUAAGUCCAUGGAGGAAAUAAAAAAUACCUCAUAACUUUCCCUUUCAUCUUUGGAUGCCUUCCUUCCAGCAGAGUUUAUGUGGAACAAAAACCUGUCUUUCUAGCCAGUUCUGGCCCCACACAAGCCAGUGAUGUAAUCAAAGUUCAUCCUUGGGGCACUUCCUACCUGGGCUUUAACCCCUAGUCUGAUCUCUGUCACCAUACCUACUCUAUACCCUCAUCCUCACCUCUGUCUUAAUGAAAAUAUAUUGAACAUAUUUUAAACAGGUAAAUAAAUGUUAGAGGCCCAGUGUAUAGCUCCUAUCCUGGGAAAAGCCUGCCUGUCGCUUAUUCUUCUCCCAUGGAAGGCCUUCUCUACAUCCUAUCUUUCUGCAUUUAGAUAAAAUAUGCCUAAUUCCAAGGGAUUUUGUGAGGGGGGGCAGGAGGAGUUAUCAAUAAUAUAGUGGACAUAAAAUGGGAUAUUUUAAGGGAGAAGGAAAAGAGGAAAAGGUGUGGAAAAAAAAAACCCAAGAGCAACAAAGUAGUGGGGGAAACCACAGCAGAAAAGGCAUUAGAGAAGGAAAGAGAGGCGAAGUAGAGAAGAGAGUUAGCUCCUUUUGUGGUCAGCGUCAUGAGAAGCAAGUUGAACAGGGCAAGGUUUAGGAAAGGGUCCUCUGGCAGAUUUAGGAGGUCAGGUAGGGAGGAUUACUGAAAAGCCUUAGUUGUGAACUACACUGAGGCAACAAUAUGGUCCAUCCAACUGGGGGCAUGGCAGAGGUGUUAAGUCAGAUUGGCAAGUGGCCCAAAUUGUUGGUCAGGCUCUGGCCAGGUAAGCCAAUUGGCCAGAGGUCAGCACCAUGGAUAGUCCCAAAGGAUUUGUGGACUCUGGAGAGAAGUGAAGAGAACCCUACAUAUUUGGUGACAGACUAAAGUUUGGUGUUUUUUUUAGCUCAGCCCCUAAGGCUGUUUUGGUUCUACCUAUAUUCAAAAACAACAUUUAUUGAGCACCUAUUGUGUGCCAGACACCCUUACUAGUUCUGGAGAAUGACAAAGAAAUGAGAUGAUACUGUCUGCCCUUAAGAAGCUUACUACUCCCUGGAUAAACUAGAAAUUUUUAAAAAUGAAAAUAAUGAUAUGGCCCUCUUGAGGGAGGAGGGUGGGAAGAGGGAGAGGAUGAGAAAAAAAAUAAUUGUUGAGUACUAUGCUUAGUACCCAGGUGACAAAAUGCUCUGUACCUCAGACUCCUGUGACAUGAGUUUGCCUGUAUUAACAAACCUGCACAUGUACCCCUGAGCCUAAAAUAAAAAUUAAAAAGUGAAAUAAAGAAAAUAAUAAUAGCUAAUAUUUAUUGAGCAAUUACUAUAUACAAAGUACAUAAUUCUAACUGCUAUACAUAAAUUAUUUUAUUGAAUUCUCUCAACAACCUUAUGAAGGAGGUAUUAGUAUCCUUAUAGAUGAUGAAGCUGAGGCACGUAGAAUUUAAGAAACUUUCUUUGUUACGUACCUUGUUAGAAAUAAAGCCAGGAUUUAAA
rnacentral:lncRNA from 1 species